CAUAAUAGAACAAUAUAAUUAGGUUUUACUCUUUGUUCGAUAGAAUGAGAAAAAGUACUCGCUGCAAAGUUAUACUAUUAGGGCGCAACUGAAUAGUCUAAUGUUGUUCCGGUUUUGGCUCUUGUGAACGUUGACAUCGAUUCGUUCGAAAUUACAACUCUCGGGGCAAAAUUUAACAAUAUAAUUAGGUUUUACUCUUUGUUCAAUAGAAUGAGAAAAAGGACUCGUCGCAAAGUUAUACUAUUAGGGCGCAACUGAGUAGUCUAAUGUUGUCCCGGUUUUGGUUCUUGUGAACGUUGACAUCGAUUCGUUCCAAAUUUACACUCUCGGGGCAUAAUAGAACAAUAUAAUUAGCUUUUAUACUUUGUUCGAUUGAAUGAGAAAAAGUACUAGUUGCAAAGUUAUACUGUUGGGGCGCAACAGAGUAGUCUAUUGUUGUUCCGG
rnacentral:lncRNA from 1 species